CUCUGGUACCCAAAGGGAUGCUGUGGGUGCAGGUAGUAUUCCUGGUACCCAUAGGGAUGGUGUGGGUACACGGAGCAUCUGGUACCCAAAGGGAUGCUGUGGGUACAGGUGGUAACAAAGGGAUGCUGUUGGUGAAGAUGGUACCCAAAGGGAUGCUGUGGAUACAGAGAGCAUCUGGUACCCAAAGGGAUGCUGCGGGUACAGGUAGUAUCCCCGGUACCCAAAGGGAUGCUGUAGGUGCAGGUGGUGCCCAAAGGGAUGCUGUGGGUGCAGGUGGCAUCCCUGGUAUCCAAAAGGAUGUUGUCGGUGCAGGUAGUAUCCCUGGUGCCCAAAGGGAUGCUGUGGGUGCAGGUAGUAUCCCUGGUACCCAAAGGGAUGCUGUAGGUGCAGGUAGUAUCCCUGGUACCCAAUGGGAUGCUGUAGGUGCAGGUGGUGCCCAAAGGGAUGCUGUGGGUGCAGGUGGUGCCCAAAGGGAUGCUGUGGGUGCAGGUGGCAUCCCUGGUACCCAAAGGGAUGCUGUAGGUGCAGGUGGUGCCCAAAGGGAUGUUGUGGGUGCAGGUGGCAUCCCUGGU
rnacentral:lncRNA from 1 species